UGUGUGUAUUUUUUUCUUUUCUUUUCUUUUCUUUUCUAUCUCCCAUGACCACACCUUGUGUGUCUCACAAAUUUGUUGUGCUAGGAUCAAUUAAUUUGUUUGUGUUUAUUUGAUGGUAUUGACCUUAUGAAAUAAAGUGCAUCUUAUCCUUAAUUUGUUUGGUAAGAAAUAUGACACGAAGCUUCUCUUUGUGUUAUGAUGCCAAAAUUGUACGACCAAAUACUUCUGUGCAUAAGAAUAAAAAAAAUUCUUGAGUACAAAAACUUGAGUACAAAAACUACAUUCAAAUUUUUAACUUUUGAAAUAUAAAAGGUUGCUAAAACAAGUUCCAACCCACAUAUAUAACCAACCAAUAAAACUUUAUACUCUUAAAAACACACUUUCUUUUUUAAGUAUGCAACAUG
rnacentral:lncRNA from 1 species